rnacentral:lncRNA from 1 species
UUUUUUUUUUUUUUUUUUUACUAUUCUGCACUAACAUAAGACAGUUCAACUCAGGAUAAAUUCCAUAAUUGUCAGAUAAUUUUAGCUCACAAGUCAAGACAGUUUUAUAUUUUGAAAUGAACACCACCAACAAAAGAACUAUCAGUGUCUUGAAGAGAUGGCCUUUUUAAUGGGGCCUGAGAGCAAAAACAAAGAAAUAAAAUGAAUAUUUCUAAACAAGUUCUAGAAAGAUCUUCACAGGAAAAAAAAGAAAGAAGCAGAAACUUUGGAAAAAACAAUCCAUAAAAGAAUAAAUUUUUUCUUAGCACCAGAAUCACAAAUGAAAACAAGAAAAAGCAGGAGGAAAUAUUUUUUUUCAUCUUACAAGACAUCAUGUCCUUAACUUGAAAGAUUUCAGUAGAACUUCAGACACUGAACAGAUUUCAGAGAACUGUAGCCAUUCUUUGUCUUGAGGUUCUUUGUCUUUAUAACAGUUGAUCUUAACAAAAUUGAAGAUUUAAAAAAUGAGGUUAUUGUUCCAUUUUACAAUGCAGGUUUUCAAAAUGAAGUAAAAGCCACUGAAAAUAACUGUUAUCUUAAAUAGGUCAUUUCAAAUAAAGAAGACUGGGUUCUGGGCAUGACAUAAAAAUCUUAAAGAAAGCUUUGCUCUGUACAUUUGAAAUUCACCAACUUUUGUAAGUCUGCAUUCUCAAACAUGGAGAAUAGUUAUAUUAUACAGGUCAACUUCAAGUCACAGAAAAACUAACAAAAACUAGAACUGACAGUGUAUAAAAUCACUUAAAGGAAAAAGACUUUUCAGGCUUUGAAGUACCAGGAAGAAAAGCAUAUAGAAAAGAUGAAUAAUUAUGGGAAAAAAUUAAAUACACACAUGUUGUAAGCUAAAAAAAGAGGAAAACAUGGAAAAACCAAAGAAUCACUUUGUAAGAAGUGCAAAAAGGAAACAAUAAAUACAUAAAUAUGUUUAACAUAAAAAGAGCUUGUAUGUGUUAUUCCCACUCUCCUAAUCCCCUCCCCCACCCCCAAUGGUUUCCCCUAUGGUAACCGUAGGAGUGGUUUUGAAAGCUGUAAGUUUGUUUCUAUUUUCCCUAUGGUCACCAUAAGAUUGGUUUUGAAAUGUGUGAGUUUGUUUUGUUUUAUAAGUUAUUUUGUAUAAUUUUUAUUAGAUUCUACAUAUAAGCAAUAUCAUACAAUAUUUAUCCUUCUCUGUCUGAUUUAUUUCACUCAAUAAGAAUCUACUGCAAAGCACAGGGAAAUCUACUCUAUAGCUUGUAAUAAGCUAUACAGAUAAAAGAAUGAAUUUAUGUAUAUUAAUUCAUAUGAUCUCUAGAUAAAUAGAUUCUCUCUCCCUCUCUCUCUCUUUCUCUCUCUCUAUAUAUAAACUGGUUGACUUUGCUGUACACGUGAAACUAAUACAACAUUGUAAGUUAACUAUACUCCAAAAAAAGUUUUUUUAAAGAGUCUGUACAAAUGAAGAAGAAACGCUCUAAGACCCUAAUAAAUAAAUUGGCAAGAAACACUGUUUUAUUUUGCUAGAGGUGCUAUAACAAAAUACUACAGGCUGAAUGGUUUAAGGAACAGAAAUUUAUUAUCUCACAGUUCUAGAAGCCAGAAGUCUGAGAUCUAGCUGCUGGCAGGUUGGGUUUCUUCUGGGAUCUCUCUCCUCUGCGUAAAGAUGGAUGCUUUCUUUCUGUGUCCUACAUGGUUCUCUCUUGGUCUUCGUGCUUCCUGUGUCCUAAUCUCUUUGUAUAAGGAUACUAGUCAUAUUGAAUUAGGACCCACCCAUAUGACCUCAUUUUCCCUUACUAUCUCUUUAAAGUCCUUAUCUCCAAAUACAGUCACAUUUUGAGGUAUAAGGGGUGAGGACUUCAACGCAGGAAUUUAGGAUACAACUCAUCUCAGAACAGCAAUAAGCAACUCAAAAAAAAAUAUUGUCUAAAAAACAUUAAAAUGCUUGCUAAAAGGAAUGUUAAUUAAAAGUAAAGUAAGAUUCUAUUUUUUGUUUGCAAAACUAGUAAUGGUUGAAAAAACAUUUUAAUACUGCUAGAAUUUUAAUGCUCUCAGGGAUUCAGUUCAAUGAGGACACUGAAUGCUACAUACAGAAAUGUAAAUUGGCAAACCAUUUUGGAAAACACAUUUGCAAUAUAAUUCAGGAAUGUAAAAAAUAUUAAACUUUUGAUACAGAUCAAUAUAAACAAGAAAAAGAUAAUAAAAAUAUAUCUAGAGAGCAGCAUAUUUCCUUUUGGGAGAUAUCUUUACUGAAAAAUGAUCCAUCUGAGCAUUAUUUACAAUCCUAAAAAUAUUUGAAACAAUUUAUAUGUCCACAAUGGGGAAAUUUGUAUAUAAAAUCUACCCUUGCUGAUAUGUUAUGCAGCUACAAAAAUAUUUAUGAAGACCAUGAAAAACAUAAAAUAUCUAUAUUUUUAUAUUUUAAGAAUAAAGCAGGAUACAAGGAAUAUGUUAAAAAGAUACAUAGCAUAAAAAGAGGCAAUAUGGAGUUCCCAUUGAGGCUCAGUGGAAAGGAAUCUGGCUAGCAUCCAUGAGGAUGCAGGUUUGAUCCCUGGACUUGCUCAAUGGGUUAAGGAUCCAGGUUGUCACUGUUGUGGCUCAGGUCACUGCUCUGGUGCAGGUUUGAUCCCUGGCUUGUUAACUUCUGCAUACCACAGGUGCAGCCCCCCAAACUCAGAAAAAUCAAAUUUACAGCUCUUUAUUUUGGAUCAUUUUAUGCAAUAAAAAUACCAUAAGGGCAAUGAUUUCAAACACGGUCUCUCAGAAUUGAUGUGAUCCAAACAUGUUUUCAAAAUUGAAUGGAAGAUAUGAUCCAAGCUCCUGGUAUUUCAGUUUUCUUCCCCAUGAGGGAAGAAUGCAAGACUUGUUUCUCUGUGCACAUGCCCAAUGGGAAAUCAAUGGUGAACCUAACUGGUGAUGGGGAAUCAAUGGUGUUCCUAUCAAAACAAUUAGGCAGCAAACAAAUUUUCCAAAGCCCAUAUCCUCAAGGAGUGUUUUGUCAGGAGUCAUGCUGUCCCUCAGUGAAAGUUUACCUUGAACUUGAUGACUGUCAUUGUUCUGCUGCCUUUGAGGUUCAAACGGAGGAACAGUGUGACAAGUGCAAAUUGUUCACUGCUCUGACCUUAAUUGACACCACUGCUAGAUGCCACCCAUAAACAGGCAAGUGGUAAUUACGAUGAAAAAGAACUUGACCACCCCUCAAAUUUCUCUCCAUCCCUGUCCAAUAGAGCCUCACUCACGCUGGGAUAGGUCAUUGUGAUAUUCACCCCAUAAGGGGCUUCAUCAUUUGACUUCUGCUCACUUCUGCACCUACAUCUCUCCCCACAGCCUCUCAAAUGCUAAGCUGCCACCGCAUGGAGAGUCGGAGCCCUCUUCACUCUUUUGGACCUUGGAGUAGAAGAAGAGCAGGGCAUGCCCGCUUAUAAUACAGGAUCCUUUCUGAACCCUGACUCCUUGCUGACUUUCCUGUUCUUUAUUUUUCCCCUUUGAGUAUUCUUUCCAUCACUUCAUAUUUCACAAGCAAAACUAUAUCUUCUACCCUGAUAUGCUAUCUAAGCAUAAAACUUGCACAACGAAAGGAUCUAAAACAUUUUUUAAUAAGUGAAUGGAAUGAAAACCAGAGUUCUGUUCUAUGACAUUCAGCACGUUGUUUAAAUGCCCCAUGCUUCAUUAUUUAUCAUGUAUAAAAUUAUUUUUCACAACAGCACUGCUUAAGGAUUAAAUGAUAGAGUAUACAAAUAUAUUUCAUAAACUCUAAAAUAUCUUAUAAAUGAAAGGAUUAUGACCAUCAUUUUCAUUUAAAGAAAUUCUAAAGACCCACCAAAGUAUGUCCAAUUCACUGAUACUAUGUGGAAUUAGACACAGAAAUCACCUUACAGGAUGUGACUCCAUAGAAUUUUGAUGGCUCAUACAUAUUUCAGGGCUGCAAGGAAAUGAGGAGGGGAAAAGCAGAAAUAAAGAUGCUAAUGUGAAGGAGAAUUUUCAUCAUGAUUUCAGAGCCCAGAGACCUUCAUCGUCCUGCUCAGACAUGAUACCAGCAUCUUUUUCCCUCCUAAUCUCCAGGUCUGAGGCUAUGCUGGGGAUCAGGGGACCGCGGUUGAGCUUGAAGAUGGCUUUACUCUCAGACAAAUGGAGGCCACCAGCAUC